GUAUCCAAGAAGACGAGCUGCGGAACCUGCUUGAUAAAAAGCUGGAACCAGUGUGCUAUGAUGGGUUCGAACCAUCUGGGAGAAUGCAUAUUGCUCAGGGAGUGAUGAAGGCAAUAAAUGUCAACAAGCUUACUUCUGCCGGGUGCAGAGUGAAAAUAUGGAUUGCUGAUUGGUUUGCUCAGCUUAACAACAAAAUGGGGGGUGAUCUGAAGAAAAUUGAGACUGUUGGCCGCUACUUAAUUGAGAUAUGGAAAGCAGUUGGGAUGGAUCUGGAAGGAGGUAAGGUUGAAUUUUUGUGGUCGUCGAAGGAGAUUAACUCUAGGGCAGCAGAAUACUGGCCCCUUGUAAUGGAUAUUGCUCGGAGAAACAAGCUUCCAAGGAUAAUUAGAUGUAGCCAAAUUAUGGGAAGAAGUGAACAGGAUGAGUUGACUGCUGCCCAAAUUCUCUACCCAUGCAUGCAAUGUGCUGACAUUUUUUUCCUG
rnacentral:misc_RNA from 1 species